UUUUUUUUUUUUUUUUUUUUUUUUUUGUGGGAUUGACUCUGGAAUGGUCAGGCCAGGAUGAUCCUGGAAUGGUUUGGAUUGGGAAGGGAUCUUAAAGCUCAUCCCAUUCCAACCCCAACACUUCCCAUUAUCCCAGUCCUCUUCCAGCCUUUCCUAGGACACUUCCAGGGAUCCAGGGGCAGUCACAGCUUCUCUGGGAAUUCCAUCCCAGCCAGGAAUUCCUUCCCAAUAUCCCAUUUAUCCUCACCCUCUGCCAGCUGGAAGCUAUUCCCCCUUUUCCCAUCAUUCCAUAGCCUUGGGAAUAUUCCCUCUCCAUCUUUCCUGGGAUUUCAAUCAUUCCCCCCCAGCUGAAGGGAUUUUCCUGGGCAAACCAGGAAAAAUGGUUUUAUCCCAUCCCACUUUUUAAAUGCCGGGAAUUCUCCAUCCUUGGAAUGGAAAGAGGGAAAUCCAGGAGAGUGGGAACAGCGGGAAUUCAAACCGAGGGAAAACCGGGAGUGGGAACGAUUCCAGUGGGAGUGAGGUCAGCGGGAAUCCUCGGCAGGAAAACCCGGCUGGUUCCCAUGGAAACGCCCAGCCAGGAUUUCACACUCCACCAGUUUAAAGUCAGCAUUCCAUAAAAAAAUAAAAAGCCGGGAAAAACCCAGGGAGGGAAUCCUGAGGGAACCCCUCCAGCACCUUUAUUUUUCCUUUGUGGAAUGCGUGGAUAAAUAGGAAUAUUUGGGAGUGGAGCACAAUUCCAGGGAGCUGCUCCCAGUUCAGACACUUCCAGGUGAUUUUCCAAGAUUUCAGAGGGUUUGGAAUCAUUUUGCCGUGGGAUAAUCAGUGGCACAAAGAACUUGUUGGAAACUAAAGGAAUUUUAAGGGAUAAAUGAAAGAAAAUUUAGGGGGCAAGGGAAUAAAGGAGCCAAGAAUCCAUAAAUUCCUGAUUUUCUUCUUGGGAAAAAUAUGGAAUUGCUGGGUUUGGGAGGAAAAAGGAAUUUUAAGCAAUGAGAGGUUGCCAUGGGCAACCAGAAUUCCGGCCCUGAGGUGGGAAUUUGGGAAUUCCUGAGUGGAGCAGGGAUUCCCUUCCAGCAACAAAGCCCAUGGAAGAGGGAAAAUCAGGGGAUGCAGCUGGAAAAUCCAAUUAAAAAGAAUAAAAUAAGCAAAAUUCCCAAGCUGGAGCUGUUGUGGAUCCCAAAGUGUUGGAAUUGUGGGAGAAAAUGGGAAGGGGUUUUCUGGGAUGAAGUGGGAAUGGGAAUUGACAAAAGUAUUCCAUAACUGACCCUCGAAAAGUCAAAUAAUCUGGAUUUUUGGGGAUGAUUCCCAAACUCCAGUGGCAGCGCUGGGCUGGGUAAAUUUGGGAAUUCUCUCCCCAGAGAGAAUUCCAAAAGAAAUCCGUGGAUUUAGCCAUAAACCAGGAGAAUGAACCCCAAGGAGAGCCCGGAAUCUUGGGAAGCUGCUCCAGCUUUCCCUGGGAAUCCUGCUGGAACGAGAGCCCCCCUGCAGAGCGAUCCCAAACCUUUGGAAUCACGGAAUUAGGGAAUGGUUUGGGAUGCAGAGCUCAGGCAGCUCCAUCCCAACACCUUCCACAAUUCCAGGGUGCUCCAAGCUCCCUCCAGCCUGGCCUUGGACAUUCCCGGGAUGAGGCAGCCACGGAUUCUUUGGGAAUGCUGGGAUUUUAGGGAAGCUGUGCAUUCCCAUCAUGGAAAACACAAUUCCCGAGGGAAUCUGGGGUGGAGGCUGGGCUGGACAUCGGGAAGAGGAGGAGAGCGAAGCAGAUAAAAGGAAAAUUCCCAAAUUGUCCCUGGAAUGUGGGAUGGGAAUGGGAAUGGGAAGAACCUCCCGGGCCCUGGAGGGAGCUCAUUCCUGCCUUUCCCAAUCCCACGUCAGCCCCGUUAUCCCGCUUUUCCCUGGCUGAAAAUCCCUCUGGGGAGGCUCCUCUCAGCCUCUGGAUCAUUCCCAAAGAUUUGUUCUUAUCCCGGCUUUUAGAGCCAAAGCCGGGCUUUACAAAGCUGGGCUUUAAAGCCAAACCCAGGCCCUUGGAGACAAAGCCAGGCUUUUAGAGCUGGAGACGGGCCCUUGGAGACAAGGCUGGACUUUACAAAGCCAGGCCUCACCUAAGCCAGGCCUUUAGAGCCUAAGCCAGGCCUUUAGAGCCAAAGCCAGGCCUUACCUAAGCCAGGCCUUUAGAGCCAAAACCAGGCCUUACCUAAGCCAGGCCUCACCUAAGCCGGGUCUUUAGAACCAAAGCCAGGUCCCACCUAAGAUGGGCCUUUAGAGCCUAAACCAGGCUUUUAGAGCCUAAACCAGGCUUUUAGAGCCUAAGCCAGGCCUUUAGAGCCUAAACUGGGCUUUUAGAGCUAAAUUGAGCUUUUAGAGCUAAACUGGGCUUUUAGAGCCUAAGCCGGGCUUUUAGAGGCCUCCCAUGAAUAUUUUAGGCCGGAGCAGCACAGGGAUGAGGCCGGUGAGAGCUGCAGGGAUGGGAGAUGCUCCAGGGGGAAUUUUCCAGAAUCUUCCAGCUGGAUUUGCUGGGAUGAGCUCGGAUCCUCCAGGGUUGGGAUCGGCUGUGAUUUCAUUGCCGUGUGCGCUGGAGGCUCCCGGUUUUCCUGGUUUUUUUUGUGAAUUUGGUAUGGAAUUCCAGGCUCUGCAGCCCCUCUGCACCAGGAAUUCCAGGGGCCCUCAGAGCUGGGGCUGCAUCUCCUCAUUUCUAUCCCAAAAAAUCCCCGGGAUAACUUGGCCAAAAAUGGAGCUUCCGGAGUUUUCACCUCAGUUUUCGGGAUCACCAAAUCAUUUGGGCUCUUUUGACCCCCCUGCUCCCGGUUUUUAGAGGCCAGAUAAGGAGCUCAUCCCAAUUAUCCGUGGAAAAGAUGAUUUCUCUUUUUUCUGGCUUCAUGCCUUCCUUUUUAUCCCAAAAAAAUGAACAUCCAGGCUAGGAGGCCAAGGAAUUUCCCAGAUAACAAAGUGAAAUUAAAUUACUUUAUUCCCCCCUGGCCCAAGGAGGUGAAUUCCUCCCUGAACUCAUCCCUGAGAAUUAUCAGGAAUAAACUCCCACUUUUCCAAGGUUUUUAACCUGGCCCAAAGGUUCCCUGACCUCAAUCUGGGCUGAAAAUUCAGACUGGAGAAGUGCUGAGCUUCCCAAAAAAUAAUCACAACUUGGAAGUGGAAUUCUGGGACUUGGAGGUGCCGACCUGAAUUUUGGGAACGCAAAGUUUGGAUGAGGGAAGGAACUUUGUAGGGAAUAUUGAGGAAGUGCAGGUGGCUUGAUCCUGGUUAUUCCCAAUAUCCAAAAUUCCUUUAAAACUGGAUUUCCUGAAAAGCGCUAGCAUUGCCUUCAAAUUUCCAUCUCCUGGUUUUCCCAAAUUUCAUGAAAUCCCUGGAAUGGUUUGGGUGGGAAAGGGAUAAAGCUGAUCCCAUUCCAAAUGCAGGCUGCUCCAAAUGCCUGGCCUGGGAUUUUUCCAGGGAUGGGGCAUCCCAGCUUCUCUGGAAAACAGGGAAUUCCUGCUGUGGCUCUCCCACUGAUUUUGGAUAUCAGCCGGGAUAAAUCCCAUAAAUCCCUGCUUUUUCCUCAUUUAUUUCAGGGAUAGGGUGAUACCGAGGGCUCUUGGAAACGGAGAAUUCCAGGGAUUCAGGGGCUCCUGCAGGAUCCAACCGGCUCCAAAGGAAAUCCACGAGCUCAUUCCCCGCUCCUGGAAAUUCCCGUGAGGAUCAGAUCGUAUCCAUGGAUUUUCCCAUAUUUGAAGGGCAGCCCCAAAUCCUUCCCGGCUGGGUUUUCCCGGUUUUCCCUGGAAAAGAGGCUGCCAGCAGAGGGCACACAAUGGAUGGAGAUGGGAUCCUGCUCCCAGUUCUUCCCGAACCCCUUUUCCAAGAGGACAAAUGGAGGCAGGAAGGGACAUUCCCGAGGUUGGAGAGGGUCGGGAAUGGGAUCUGGGAUCCACCAGAACUUCCAGGAGUUUGGGAUGUGAUUAUGGAUCAGAAAUCCCU
rnacentral:lncRNA from 1 species